rnacentral:rRNA from 1 species
UACGUAGGGGGCAAGCGUUGUCCGGAUUUAUUGGGCGUAAAGAGCGUGUAGGCGGCCUGACAGGUCUGCUGUGAAAACUCGAGGCUCAACCUCGAGAUGUCGGCGGAAACCGUCUGGCUAGAGUCCGGAAGAGGAGAGUGGAAUUCCUGGUGUAGCGGUGAAAUGCGCAGAUAUCAGGAGGAACACCGGUGGUGAAGGCGGGUCUCUGGGCCGUAACUGACGCUGAGGAGCGAAAGCAUGGGGAGCGAACAGG